AACACUUUCCUCUCUGGUAAAUCUCUCAUCAACUUCUUCAAGUAUUACUUGAAGAGGAAGGUGAGAGUAGAGAGAGAAGUUUUGUCUAGUAAAUGUUUCAAAAAAUGAUGGGUGAACGUAGCAAGGAUGCCACGUGUGAAUGACGGAGCCAGCUUGAGCAUAAUAUUAUGAAC